UUUUUCUUUGGUUAAUCCGGGAGAUGGUGUUCAGCCACAAGAAUAUGACGUCACCCAACGCGGUGGAGCUCAUGCUUCACCUCUCAGUCUGACGGAGAGGAGCAUGGGUUUACAAUAGAUCUGCUGGGUUUUUUUUUCCUUCACGUAAACCUUCCUAAAAUACUACUAAAGGAAUAAAAACAGAGAAUGAACAAGAACGACAGAUCCAAUUACAAAGUGCUGAGGCAAACUCAGUUGCAAAGAACGAAUGUCAAAAGGAAAUUGACGUCAUCUGUGCGUCUGAUUUCUAAUUGAUCAUAAGUUAGAACCAAUCAAAACGCGAGAAUAGUUUGACUUAUUAUAUAAUGUCAUGUACAGGAGGUGACUCUAAGACUCUUAUGGUUGUGCAAGUAGCACCUGUGGAAAAGAAUGUUGCUGAGACAGUCUGCAGCUUGAAUUUUGCUCAGCGUGUCAGAACGGUGGAGCUAGGACAGGCCACCAAACGAACGAUCAAAAGUUGAGGAGUUAACCAGCUCACCUUCUUCGAUGUCAAGGAAACCUGGAGAGAAAUCCUACAUUUAAAUUGAAAGUUUUCAAUGAAAAUAAGAUUUUCUAAAAUAAUAUAAAAUUUGCGGAGAAGUUUUUUCUGGUCAGCAUAAUACUGACAUCACUUGUUCUGCUUGUUUGGUAGAAUUGUCCACAUCAGAGUGGCCUGUGGUAUCACAAAAUGCUACGACGUGUUAAUCGCUAUGAUAUUUGGUAUGAUUGUAAAAUGUUUCGAUUUGCACAACAUUGUAUUAUAAAGCAGGCAACUUUUUUUUAAAGAUUUGAUUCGUUUUAAGAACAAGAAAAGAGACUAAAUGAAGAGACUCGACAAACUGAGGUCUAAAAGGUACUCUUGGUGAAUAAAAAUUACUGGGACAAUUAAUUUUACGAGUCUCCGAAAACUCGCUAAAAUCAGUUUUUUGGCAGUAAAAUACUUGGCUCAGUUACAACAACAACAAUGCUUUAUUUUCUCUAGAUACUUAAAACACGUUUGCAAAGAAAAUUACGAUAACUUAGGGAAAAGAUAUGUGCUUAAAGUCGAGCCAGGGGGAUAAAUGAACCUUGCAGUUUCCUGGUUAUACUAUGAACUGAAUAGCUACCUCAAGAGGUCUUUAAAGAAUUUGCCUUUAGGAAUUAUUUAGUACAAUGAGAAUUGUUUUACAAAUUGUCAUUCUUUUUGGUAAAGAUCUUAAGGAAUUAUUUGGUAUAAUGAAUUUUUUUUUCACAAAUUGUCAUUCUUUUUGUAA